GAGCAAAGCUUUUAUGAGAAUCCUGCUGGACCAAGUGAGGAGAGCAAUGGUGAUGGCUAAAACUACACAGGGGACCUAGAUGUGGAUCCAUCUAGUGCUAUGUAUGAUCUGGAUGCCACAUAUGGGGGCUGGGAUGAAUAAGUAACUCAUGAUCUAGCUAUGUAAUUCCAUGAACUAUUUUAUCACCACCUAUCUAGUAUUUCUAGUUGGAACCCCAGUGUUAGGAGAUGUAAUAAUUUGGCGAAUGUGUGAGAAGCCUACCUGAGACUUUUAGCCCUGCGUGGCAUGGUAUUGUAAUAUAAAUUACCAUCUCUAGCUAUUCCCUGUUGCAAAUCUCUGACAUGGAUUAUUAUUUGACAAAACAAGAUUUUGUCAAGAAAUAAUCCAAGGACUAGUGUCAUUAUCUAUAAUAAUAAUGACACGGGUCGUCACAAUCGCCGCGACUUGGCUGGUGGCCGAUUGGCGAGUCACUACGUGUCUCACCCACCGCUGAAGCCUCGACCGACCAGAGCGCUUGCGCUGGCGGAAGACAGGGAGGGAGGACGACACAGGAAUCGACUGAUACGGAGCCGACGGUUGCCGCAGCAGGACGCCGCAGACACAUGCACGGAAGUGCGUCGCCCCGCGGACGGGAAGCGCGUCGAUGUCGAGUGGAGCCUCCUGGAGCCAAGCGGAGUCAUCGGCGAUGAACGUGAGCGCGCCGAGACGGAUCUCGCGGCCCUCGACCAGAACUCCGCCAGAAACUAUGAUGAACGCGAUCGGAACAAUUGCAACUUCUCCAAUAAGUCGCUAAGACACCGGCCCCACGGUGGGCGCCAACUGUCGUGGUGCUAAGACUGACAGUAGAAUGGGGGGUAGGUAUGGAGAGGCAAGAUCCUAGCUAUGGAGUAUUUGUAUAUGCAAGGGAUUUACGAGUUCAGGCCCUUCUCGGAGGAAGUAACAGCCCUACAUCUCGGAGCCCGGAGGCGGUCGACUGGAUUAUGUGUGUAUGAGUUACAAGGGUGCGAACCCUUCUGCCAGUGGAGGGGGGUGGCUUAUAUAGUGUCUGCCAGGACCCAGCCAGCCCACGUAGCGGAGGGUUUAAAGUACAUUAAGGCCUGGCGUUACUGGUAACGCCUUACAUAAAGUGUCAUCAUGGCCAUAAAGACUACUUAAUUACAGACCGUUUGGAUACGGAGUGACUCUUGAACCCCUGGUGUGUAGGAGACCUAGAGGCAAUAAUAAAUGAUAUUAUUUAUCUCCAACUUGAUAAUUAUGUUUAUGUUCCAUGCUAUAACUGCAAUGAUUCUCGAGUCUACAAUAUCCACGAGGCUCAGAGGAAGACUCAUAUGCACGUGUGGAAUAAUAAAUGGUAAGAAGUAUUCCUAGUUUGGCCUCUAAGACUAGCUCAAGUGUUGCAUGAUGGUUCCGUUUUCCUGAUCAUGGGCAUGUCUAUGCAAGCAACUUUGAGGGCACAAUGUUAAGAGAACAUUUGCGUUGAAUCGACCCGGUUUGAUGUUAUGCUAUGAGACUCAUUCGUCACAAGUUAAUGGUAAAUAACACAGAGAUGGUUAACGUUUGCAUGAUUCCUUAGACCAUGAGAGUAUAGAGUUUCUUCAUGCUUGCUUCAUGAACUUUGGGGUUCGUUAAACGUCAUCCGUAAAUGGGUGGCUAUUACGGCGGCUUACGGGUUCAUGGAAAAGUGUGUCAAGUAACUUGAUAGCUCAAGAUUGGGAUUUGCUCUUCCGACGCUGGAGAGAUAUUCUCAGGCCCUCUCGGUGUUAGGUAUCCAUCAUCGUCUGGCCAGACACAGUGUGAUUUGAUCACAGGGAUGCCGGAACACGGAAACGAGAAAAGAGAACAAAACGAGUAACGAGGUAACUAGCAUAGUGGACAAGUUGUUGAUCCACGGGGAUGUAAGUAAAUCUCACCUCGGGUCUUUGUAACAUAUCGCGAAGCAAUAGGAAUAGCACACGGCAAAUGGAGGUUCACUCGAAUAUUCAUUCGUGUGGGUAUAGGGGUCAAUAUGGGUGUCCACGGCUCCGAUGUUGAUCAUUGAUCGGAAGGGGUUCCGGGUCAUGUCUAUACUUCACCGAACCUAUAGGGUCACAUGCUUAAGGGUCAUCUAUCUGCUGAAUACUAGACAGGGAGUCUGAGAGAAAAUCACCAAAAAAAGUUUCGGACACCGGAAAAGUUUUGGACAGCGGAAUCAUACCGCAGAGAGAGGUCAUCGGCUGAGUUUCGAUGAUACCGAAAAGUUGUUUCGGGAUAUACCAUUAAGUCAAAUUGGUUCCGGCAAAUGCUUGAUAAUUCUUGGAGGGUGCCAGAAUCAUUCUGGAAGCUUUUUGGAAUUUUCUGAGAUAAAAAUCGGAAAUGUUCCGGAGCUGCCGGAGCCACUUCAGAUGCGUUUCGCAGAUGAAAAUCACUAAAAUGGAAUUGUUCCAGAACGCGUUGAAAAUUAUUAUGGUGGGUAUUGGAAAUGUUCUAAGCCCACAUAAAUAUUUUCAGUUCGAACGGACGCUGAAAAAUGUCGUCGUGAAUAGUGAAAGUGCUUUUUGGGAUAUUUAUGAAAAGCCACCUUUUGGGGCUUUUCCCAAAAGGCCUAUAGAUGAACUUGGGGACUAAGGAACCCCUUUUGGGGGGCCCCCAUGAGGGAUGGUCGGCCACACAUGUGGAGCUCCAUGGAGCUCCACUUGCCUUCCCAUUUUACCCUUAUGAAGGAUCGAUGUGAUGGUUUUUUUGGGUAUUUGUCCGAUAGGCUUUUCCUAUAAAUAGAGGUGGAGGGGUGCUCUCCACUCACAUCCCUUCUCAUAUACAAGUGCCAUGCAAUGAUCUGGCUUCUUCUCUCCCUCCCACGAAAAGAGUUUCAUAGAGCUGUAAGGCUGUCUGGGUUCCGGCAGGAACUAGUUCUGGACGGCGAAGCCCUGCUGGAUAGAUGACACCGUAUGUGUGCAACUCUGUAGAGAGAUCGUAGUUUCGGUCUUAGUUCGUGAGUGCCUCCCGAAGGGCUGUCCGAGUGACUGUCCGAGUUUUGAAGGUCCUCCCGAAGGGCUGUCCGAGUGACCGUCCGAGUUCCGAAGGUCCUCCCGAAGGGAUGUCCGAGUGACCGUUCGAGUUUCGAAGGUCCUCCCGAAGGGCUGUCCGCGACACCGUCCGGGGGGGCCGUUCGACCGCCUCCCGGAGGGUUGUCUGAGGAGCAGGUGAGGGUAUACAUCCUCGCGGUUGGGAGGUUGCAAAUCCUAGCUGCGGGGAUCUGCACCGCCGUUCGUCAUCGACUCUACUUCCCGCUGCGCUACGAGUCGGUAACGAAAAAGAUCAAACCAUGUAUGCAGUCUCCAUAGUGGUCCUGGGCUGGUGCGUAGGUCGAAUUUUUUUUGUUUUCUGCUGCGUUCCCCUAUAGUGGCAUCAUGAGCUGUGCUAUGCGUAGAUGCAUGUUACGAUCUAGAAUACAUGGAGAUGUAUGGGUAUUGCAUAAUAUAAUUUUGGAGUAGAUGAGAUCUAUUGCUGAAAAUUAUUUAUGCGGGUGACAUAUGAAAUCUGUUACCCGACGUUCUUGUUGCUUCCCUAGAAUUUGCGUUUGCUCAAUCUCGAGAUAGCAUGGUGGAAUUUGACAAAGUUCUGGCAUUCCGUGAUCCUGGUUGAUCAUGGAAGUGCUAUCAAUUCUUUGGGUUCUGCCGUAGUCAAAAGAAAGAUGAAAUUCGCAGAUGAAAGGGCAUUGCAGAUAUGAUCUGCACGGGGGUCAUGCGUAUGACGAAGUUUAGUAUGGGGUUUGAGAUUUUAUUAUCUCGUGCUUCAUACAUCCCGAGAUGUUAAUCUAGCGACUUGAAUUAUCAUACUUGAUGAUGAACGUUGGUAGCUGCGGUUUAAGUCAAAACCUUAGAAGCCACGUAAAACUUUUUUUGUAUGAACCGAUUAGAGGCGUCUAACUUGGUUUUGCAGGAUGGUUUGCAUGUGAUGUGGUAUAGCAGUGCUCAUAAUAAUUUGAUUAUGUAUGAGAUGACUAUAUAAUGUAAUUAACAUGACCUGCGUGUCAUGAUUCGGCAUGAUGGCUGGAGCCAUAUGAUUGCACUUUAAUGACCCGCGUGUCAACCUUAAGUAAUGCAUUUAUUUUAUCCGCUAUGGAGAUAGCGAUAUUAUCUGGUGCACCGACAAGGUGGUGGCAAUCUUCAUGAAGAUGAACACCGAUGCGAAUGCCGAAGACGAAGAAAUACAAGACUUCUCCGUCAGAAAGGGCUAUACCGUAUCAUGCUAUUAUGAAUUGCCUGAGAUGUUUAUCCCUUUGAUGCACCCUUCUUGAUUGCGCGGUAGUCGCUUUUUAUUAGGGUGAUCUCUCACAAAAAUAUCAAGUAGUUAGUGUUCUCCCAAGUGUAGCACCGUCACGGCACCUAACUUUUCGGGGUGCGCCAUGUCCACAUGGGUACGAACAAUUAGAGAAGUGUGAGGCGGGUGAGGUCAGACCUCGCAGCAAGAUCACUUGGUUGUCUUGACGUUCUGGCUUGAUCGUCCCGAGCUCGGAACACACCCAUCUAAAGAUGAACAGGAGUCAGAUAGAGAUGUGAUCGGCAUGUUUGCCCACCAAUGGAAAUUCUCGUCAUCAGUGAUGUCCAAAUCAAUGGCGUUGAAUUGAAAUGUGGAUCUUGUAUCACUCACAAAUCAAUUAUGAGAGAUAUUGAUUUGAGUGGGAGCGCACUGUAGAACUAACUUGUUUAAUUCUUAGUGCAAUUAAUUAUGAACACUGUCUAAGUGUUUCUUGCAAAAUAGUUGUAGAAUAAUGGCUCGCGUUUCCACUUUCCCUGUUAAAAUUGAAUAGCUGUUAAAUAUCUGGUUAAAACUUUACGAUUGGUAACGUAAUAUGAGGAUUGUCCCCAAAAGUGCCGAGAAGGACUUUGUCCUAUCGCAUGCUUUCCUUAUACUCCCGCUAAAUGCUAUGGAUGAUGAGACUCUCGUCCUUCGAUCCAAAAUCUAGAAUUCUAUUACGAUCAAGUGGAAUAUGUUUGCUUCCAUGAAACCCAAACUUCGAAAGUUGGGAUAGUUAUAUGAUAUUCAUGGAACUGAAAAUUAUUUCAGAUACAAACAAAGUAAUGUUUGUUUGCAAGUAUUAGUAAAAGUGUUUACUAUGCAUUUGACUGUUGGGAAAGGGAUCCAGAAGAACGCCUGUCAUAUAAUGAAAGGUGAAUAAAACAACAACUUAAAGAGAAAGGAAGUGUCCAAAGGGUGUUAGUAUGACUUACACGCCUAGGAAGUCCGGGCUAACGCCACGCUUAUGUUGGGUGCUUCUUUUGCGAGUAGGAGAAAUACUAGAAGUUAAACUGUUAGAAGUAUAAAGGCAGAAAGAAAGAUGACUGGAAUAUCCAGCUCAUGUAUGAAUGUCAUGCAAGUUUUUGAUGUAUAAGUAGGCUGGUCAAAGAUAUAGUUCUUGGGAAUUAUGGUUAAACAUGUUAAUCACUAAUUCUUGGGUAUUGUGAGUUAAUCACAAAGAUACCUGCUUGAUUGCAUUCUGUUGCGAAUCAAUGUAAGAGCUACUAUGGCCUAAAAAGACUAGUCAGAAAUGAGGUUAAGGUAUACACAGGGAACAUAGUAAAUGUUACUAUACCUUCCAUCGGUGUAUUGCCUUCUAAAUUUAUUUUCAUAAUUCAUUUAGAGUUUUAAAAACUCUAGCCCAUUGCAUUAGGUAUCUUGCAAGAAGGUUGUUCGUAAGAGAACUUUUUAUGUUCGAUGUUAUGAAUAACACAAGGGCCAUACUUUCAUUAUAAAUGAGAUAUAUGUUAUGGAUAUUGAAAUACAAUACCUCUGGGUUUACUUUCAUGAUUCAUUUUAGAGUUUCAUACACUCUAGCCCACUGCACAAUGUUUGUUGCAAAAGAGUUGUUCAUAAAAACAACAAUUGUUGUUAAGUAUUAUGAAUAACAUGAAGGGCCAUCCUUCCAUCCAAGAUGGGAUGUAUGUUAUGAAUAUUGAUGUUAAUAUGAUACAUCCAUAACACCGACGCUAAAUGCCGCAAGACUAAAAGAAUACCACACAAGUGUGGCACUACAUUUGGUCACAUUGGAGAAACCCGCAUGGAAAAUUCCAUUAUGAUGGACUUUGAAGUCGUUUGAUUUUUGAAUCAUCUGACACUUGCAACUUUCCUCUAAAAAGUGAAGUGACUAAAAUACCGUUCACAGGCCAUAAGGAACGAACAACAAACUUAUUGGUGAUCAUAAAUUUUAUGUGUGUAGUCCGAUAAGUGUUGUUAGUAGUGGAUUUAUCUAUCUUCAGAAAUGACUCAAGUAGAUAUAUGGAUAUUUACUUGAUGAGACGUAAGUUUGGAUCUUUUGAAAUCAUUCGAAAGGUUUUCAAAAAUGAAUUAGAAGUUAUUGUAACAAGAAAAUUACGUUUCUACAAUUUGAUUGCAGAAAGGAAUAUUUGAGUUACAAGUUUAGCGAAUGUCUGAUGAGUUGUGAAAGGGGUUUCAUAAACUUGCACCUCCCGGAACACCACUGCAAGUGAAAAGUCCGUGGAGAUGUAAUCGAACCAUUUAUUACAUGGUAAGAUCAAAGAUCACAUAAAUAAAAUUGCCAUUAUCCCUUUUAAAGAGUGAUGCUUUAGAGACUGCGGCUUUUACACUGAAAAGAGCUCCGUCGGGUCUGUUGAAAUGACACCAUGGUAAGGUACGCCCAACCAUGUUAUAUCUUUUCUUAAAAAUUUGGAAUAUGGGGUUUGUGUAAAGGUUACAGACCUAUUCCAAAUCAGACAAGUACUACUUUGUAGGUUAUCCCAAGUCAUUGGGUAUUCCCCCACCACUAUACCGAGGCAAAUAGUUUUUCCGCAAAACGGUGUGCUUUUAUAGAGAAUGAUUCUUUCAAAAAGGUGAGUGGGAGAAUAGUGCAACUCGAUGAGAUAAACAGUAUCUUCGUCAUCAGAUCAAAGGAAAGAGACCUUGGAAGUAAUUCCAGAGUUUCCUACUGCGACUGAUACGGAAGUCUCUACAAUAAAUUUAUGAACUUCGGUCGAACUUGCAGCUGAACCACGUAGGCAAGGCUCGUGCAAACCUCUCAGGUGCGCAAACGAGAUAUUGUUGUUAGACAACAUUAUACCUAUGAUACACAAGGAAGCGUUGAUGGGCCCUGACUCCGGAAUUGGCUAAAUGCCAAUACAAUCCGAGUUAGUUUCCAUAUAAGUGAUUCAAGAUUAAAACCUUGAUACACCUUUCAGAAGACUUAGGGUCUAACGAAUAUUUAUGGAACUUAAAACGGAUACGGAUAAAAAUGUUUUAUCCAUAAAGCUCGACUUGUUGAAAUAACAAGUUCAAGAGUUGACUACGAUGAGGUUGUUUUCAUUGUAGCGAUGCUUAAAGUUGGUUCGGGUUGAACUAGCAAUUAAUACAUAUUUCAAUCAUGAGAUAUGAAACAUGGAUGACAAUAGGAUUUCCAUCUGAUGGAAAUGAAACCAAGGACUUGCAUGUGUUACAGUCCAAGGCAUUUUGUCUAUUCAGAGGAUGCUAGUAAAGGUUGCAAACUUCAGAGUUCCAGCGAUGGACAGAAGACAACAAAAUGGAGUUGGAAUCUUCGUGCUUUGAUGAAAUGGUCAAAGGGGUUUGACUUCAUCAAUGGGUAACGAAGAUGCUUGUAAUUCAAGAAAGUAAGUGGGAGCGUAAUAAUAUUUCUAAAAACCUUGUGUGCUUGACACAUUGUUAAUUGGAAAUAAAUUUCUUGACACGAAUUAGGACUUCAUUUGAAAAUAGUUUUUUGAUGAAGUGCUUAGGCUAAAUAGCCUCAAUAUUAGGCAUAAUGAUCUAUGGAGAUAGAUUUACCUAAUAGGGCUAAGCAAUAAAUACAUAUUGACAAGAUGCUAAAACCGUUAAGCACUAAGAACGACAAGGAGUGAUUCUUGCCGAAGUCACAUGGAAAGAGUUUUUGCAAGACUCGGUGUCCCAAAACACUGAUGAACAAAAUACAUGAUGCAUAUUCCACACACUUUUGUGUUUGGAUUAAUCAUGUAUUCCAUGGUAUGUAAAACAACCAGAUAUGUCCGAUACUCCCAAGGUGUUGCGAGUAUGGAUAGUAAAGUGAUCAAAGUAUUGAUCGUGGGACAACAGUGAAAGAUGUCAUUGAGUACUAGAGUAAGUACUGAUGAUAUGUUUUCUCACAAGCGGAGAUCAUGAAGAGUUCGUUGUAAAAUGUUACACCAAUACAGUCUUCAUCUUUUUCCAUGCGAUUUUUGAUUUAAUUUUAGGGUUUUGUAUAACACACAAUAUGGUGGCACAGUUAGUUGGAAAUUGUUCCAAACAAGUUACUGUGGCGAAUUCUAUAACAGAGGCGAAGUAUGUUGCCACUUUAGAAGCGACAAAGACAAAUAUUUUGAAUCAUAUAGUUCAUUCAUGAACUUAGUAUGGUUCCAAGAAGGCCUUGGUCAAUGGGACACUAUUGCAGAUAGUUGCUCCAUAACUCAGUCCGAGGAAUUAGGUUUCGACCAAUGAUUCACAUAUAUACAAAGCCAAGUCCACACAAAAUAUGAAUUUUGUGAAAGCGUGAAAAUGCGAGGAUAUGCAGAGAUACACACGGAGCUGAAGUUGUCAGAUCCGAUGGACAUCAGGCAAUACCACAUGCAAAGCAAUUUUUACACCAGCAUGCCAUAGGUGUAAAGUGCAUUAGCAUUAACUAGAUUAUUGACUCUAGUGCAAGUGGGAGUCUGUAGGAGAUAUGCCCUAGAGGCAAUAAUAAAUGAUAUUGUUUAUCUCCAACUUGAUAAUUAUGUUUAUGUUCCAUGCUAUAACUGCAAUGAUUCUCGAGUCUACAAUAUCCACGAGGCUCGGAGGAAGACUCAUAUGCACGUGUGGAAUAAUAAACGCUAAGAAGUAUUCCUAGUUUGGCCUCUAAUACUAGCUCAAGUGUUGCAUGAUGGUUCCGUUUUCCUGAUCAUGGGCAUGUCUAUGCCAGCAACUUUGAGGGCACAAUGUUAAGAGAACAUUUGUGUUGAAUCGACCCGGUUUGAUGUUAUGCUAUGAGAUUCAUUCGUCACAAGUUAAUGGUAAAUAACACAGAGAUGGUUAACGUUUGCAUGAUUCCUUAGACCAUGAGAGUAUAGAGUUUCUUCAUGCUUGCUUCAUGAACUUUGGGGUUUGUUAAUGUCAUCCGUAAAUGGGUGGCUAUUACGGUGGUUUACGGGUUCAUGGAAAAGUGUGUCAAGUAACUUGAUAGCUCAAGAUUGCGAUUUGCUCCUCCGACGAUGGAGAGAUAUUCUCGGGCCCUCUCGGUGUUACGGUAUCCAUCAUCGUCUAGCCAGACACAGUGUGAUUUGAUCACAGGGAUGCCGGAACACGGAAACGAGAAAAGAGAACAAAACCAGUAACGAGGUAACUAGCAUAGUGGACAAGUUGUUGAUCCACGGGGAUGGAAGUAAAUCUCACCUCGGGUCUUUGUAACAUAUUGCGAAGCAACAAGAUAGCACACGGCAACUGGAGGUUCACUCGAAUAUUCAUUCAUGUGGGUAUAGGGGUCAAUAUGGGUGUCCACGGCUCCGAUGUUGAUCAUUGAUCGGAAGGGGUUCCAGGUCAUGUCUAUACUUCACCGAACCUAUAGGGUCACACGCUUAAGGGUCAUCUAUCUGCUGAAUACUAGACAGGGAGUCUGAGAGAAAAUCACCGAAAAAAGUUUCGGACACCGGAAAAGUUUCGGACAGCGGAAUCAUACCGCAGAGAGAGGUCAUCGGAUGAGUUUCGAUGAUACCGAAAAGUUGUUUCCGGAUAUACCAUUAAGUCAAAUUGGUUUCGGAAAAUGCCUGAUAAUUCUUGGAGGGUGCCAGAAUCAUUCUGGAAGCUUUUUGGAAUUUUCUGAGAUAAAAACCAGAAAUGUUCCGGAGCUGCCGGAGCCACUUCAGAUGCGUUUCGCAGAUGAAAAUCACUAAAAUGGAAUUGUUCCAGAACGCGUUGAAAAUUAUUAUGGUGGGUAUUGGAAAUGUUCUAAGCCCACAUAAAUAUUUUCAGUUUGAACGGACGUUGAAAAAUGUUGUCGUGAAUAGUGACAAUGCUUUUUAGGAUAUUUAUGGAAAGCCACCUUUUGGGGCCUUUCCCAAAAGGCUUCUAGAUGAACUUGGGGACUAAGGAACCCCUUUUGGGGGGGCCCCAUGAGGGGUGUCCGGCCACACAUGUGGAGCUCCAUGGAGCUCCACUUGCCUUCCCAUUUUACCCUUAUGAAGGAUCCAUGUGAUGGGUUUUUUGGGUAUUUGUCCCCAUAGGCUUUUCCUAUAAAUAGAGGUGGAGGCGUGCUCUCCGCUCACAUCCCUUCUCAUAUACAAGUGGCAUGCAAUGAUCCGGCUUCUUCUCUCCCUCCCACGAAAAGAGUUUCGUAGUGCCGUAAGGCUGUCUGGGUUCCGGCAGGAACUAGUUCUGGACGGCGAAGCCCUGCUGGAUAGAUGACACCGUAUGUGUGCAACUCUGUAGAGAGAUCGUAGUUUCGGUCUUAGUUCGUGAGUGCCUCCCGAAGGGCUGUCCGAGUGACCGUCCGAGUUUCGAAGGUCCUCCCGAAGGGCUGUCCGAGUUCCCGUCCGAGUUUCGAAAGUCCUCCCGAAGGGAUGUCCGAGUGACCGUUCGAGUUUCGAAGGUCCUCCUGAAGGGCUGUCCGCGACACCGUCUGGGGGGGCCGUUCGACCGCCUCCUGCAGGGUUGUCUGAGGAGCAGAUGAGGGUAUACAUCCUCGCGGUUGGGAGGUUGUAAAUCUUAUCUGUGGGGAUCUGCACCGUCGUUCGUCAUCGACUCUACUUCCCGCUGCGCUACGAGUCGGUAACGAAAAAGAUCAAACCAUGUAUGCAGUCUCCAUAGUGGUCCUGGGCUGGUGCGUAGGUCGGAAAUUUUGUGUUUUCUGAUGCGUUCCCCUACAGUGGCAUCAUGAGCUGUGCUAUGCGCAGAUGUAGGUUACGAUCUAGAAUACAUGGAGAUGUAUGGGUAUUGCAUAAUAUAAUUUUGGAGUAGAUGAGAUCUAUUGCCGAAAAUUAUUUAUGUGGGUGACAGAUGAAAUUUGUUACCCGACGUUCUUGUUGCUUCCCUAGAAUUUGCGUUUUCUCAAUCUUGAGACAGCAUGAUGGAAUUUGACAAAGUUUUGGCAAUCCUGAUCCUGGUUGAUCAUCGAAGUGCUAUCAGUUCUUGGGGUUCUGCCGUAGUCAAAAGAAAGAUGAAAUUCGCAGAUGAAAGGGCAUUGCAGAUAUGAUCUGCAUGGGGGUCAUGCGUAUGACGAAGUUUAGUAUGGGGUUCGAGAUUUUAUUAUCUCGUGCUUCAUACAUCCCGAGAUGUUAAUCUAGCGACUUGAAUUAUCAUACUUGAUGAUGAACGUUGGUAGCUGCGGUUUAAGUCAAAACCUUAGAAGCCACGUAAAACUUUUUUUGUAUGAACCGAUUGGAGGCGUCUAACUUGGUUUUGCAGGAUGGUUUGCAUGUGAUGUGGUAUAGCAGUGCUCAUAAUAAUUUGAUUAUGUAUGAGAUGACUAUAUAAUGUAAUUAACAUGACCUGCGUGUCAUGAUUCGGCAUGAUGGCUGGAGCCAUAUGAUUGCACUUUAAUGACCUGCGUGUCAACCUUAAGUAAUGCAUUUAUUUUAUCCGCUAUGGAGAUAGCGAUAUUAUCUGGUGCACCGACAAGGUGGUGGCAAUCUUCGCGAAGAUGAACACCGAUGCGAAUGCCGAAGACGAAGAAAUACAAGACUUCUCCGUCAGAAAGGGCUAUACCGUAUCAUGCUAUUAUGAAUUGCCUGAGAUGUUUAUCCCUUUGAUGCACCCUUCUUGAUUGCGCGGUAGUCGCUUUUUAUUAGGGUGAUCUCUCACAAAAAUAUCAAGUAGUUAGUGUUCUCCCAAGUGUAGCACCGUCACGGCACCUAACUUUUCGGGGUGCGCCAUGUCCACAUGGGUACGAACGAUUAGAGAAGUGUGAGGCGGGUGAGGUCAGACCUCGCAGCAAGAUCACUUGGUUCUCUUGACGUUCUGGCUUGAUCGUCCCGAGCUCGGAACACACCCAUCUAAAGAUGAACAGGAGUCAGAUAGAGAUGUGAUCGGCAUGUUUGCCCACCAAUGGAAAUUCUCGUCAUCAGUGAUGUCCACAUCAAUGGCGUUGAAUUGAAAUGUGGAUCUUGUAUCACUCACAAAUCAAUUAUGAGAGAUAUUGAUUUGAGUGGGAGCGCACUGUAGAAUUAACUUGUUUAAUUCUUAGUGCAAUUAAUUAUGAACACUGUCUAAGUGUUUCUUGCAAAAUAGUUGUAGAAUAAUGGCUCGCGUUUCCACUUUCCCUGUUAAAAUUGAAUAGCUGUUAAAUAUCUGGUUAAAACUUUACGAUUGGUAACGUAAUAUGAGGAUUGUCCUCAAAAGUGCCGAGAAGGACUUUGUCCUAUCGCAUGCUUUCCUUAUACUCCCGCUAAAUGCUAUGGAUGAUGAGACUCUCGUCCUUCGAUCCAAAAUCUAGAAUUCUAUUACGGUCAAGUGGAAUAUGUUUGCUUCCAUGAAACCCAAACUUCGAAAGUUGGGAUAGUUAUAUGAUAUUCAUGGAACUGAAAAUUAUUUUCAGAUACAAACAAAGUAAUGUUUGUUUGCAAGUAUUAGUAAAAGUGUUUACUAUGCAUUUGACUGUUGGGAAAGGGAUCCAGAAGAACGCCUGUCAUAUAAUGAAAGGUGAAUAAAACAACAACUUAAAGAGAAAGGAAGUGUCCAAAGGGUGUUAGUAUGACUUACACGCCUAGGAAGUCCGUGCUAACGCCACGCUUAUGUUGGGUGCUUCUUUUGCGAGUAGGAGAAAUACUAAAAGUUAAACUGUUAGAAGUAUAAAGGCAGAAAGAAAGAUGACUGGAAUAUCCAGCUCAUGUAUGAAUGUCAUGCAAGUUUUUGAUGUAUAAGUAGGCUGGUCAAAGAUAUAGUUCUUGGGAAUUAUGGUUAAACAUGUUAAUCACUAAUUCUUGGGUAUUGUGAGUUAAUCACAAAGAUACCUGCUUGAUUGCAUUCUGUUGCGAAUCAAUGUAAGAGCUACUAUGGCCUAAAAAGACUAGUCAGAAAUGAGGUUAAGGUAUACACAGGGAACAUAGUAAAUGUUACUAUACCUUCCAUCGGUGUAUUGCCGUCUAUAUUUAUUUUCAUAAUUCAUUUAGAGUUUUAAAAACUCUAGCCCAUUGCAUUAGGUAUCUUGCAAGAAGGUUGUUCGUAAGAGAACUUUUUAUGUUCGAUGUUAUGAAUAACACAAGGGCCAUACUUUCAUUAUAAAUAAGAUAUAUGUUAUGAAUAUUGAAAUACAAUACCUCUGGGUUUACUUUCAUGAUUCAUUUUAGAGUUUCAUACACUCUAGCCCACUGCACAAUGUUUGUUGCAAAAGAGUUGUUCAUAAAAACAACAAUUGUUGUUAAGUAUUAUGAAUAACAUGAAGGGCCAUCCUUCCAUCCAAGAUGGGAUGUAUGUUAUGAAUAUUGAUGGUAAUAUGAUACAUCCAUAACACUGACGCUAAAUGUCGCAAGACUAAAAUAAUACCACACAAGUGUGGCACUACAUUUGGUCACAUUGGAGAAACCCGCAUGGAAAAUUCCAUUAUGAUGGACUUUGAAGUCGUUUGAUUUUUGAAUCAUCCGACACUUGCAACUUUCCUCUGAAAAGUGAAGUGACUAAAAUACCGUUUACAGGCCAUAAGGAACGAACAACAAACUUAUUGGUGAUCAUACAUUUGAUGUGUGUAGUCCGAUAAGUGUUGUUAGUAGUGGAUUUAUCUAUCUUCAGAAAUGACUCAAGUAGAUAUAUGGAUAUUUACUUGAUGAGACGUAAGUCUGGAUCUUUUGAAAUCAUUCGAAAGGUUUUCAAAAAUGAAGUUGAAGUUAUUGUAACAAGAAAAUUACGUUUCUACAAUUUGUAACUCAUAUGGGGGCUAGGAUGAAUAAGUAACUCAUCAUCUAGCUAUGUAAUUCCAUGAACUGUUUUAUCACCACCUAUCUAGUAUUUCUUGUUGGAACUCCAGUGUUAGGAGAUGUAAUAAUUUGGUGAACGUGUGAGAAGCCUACCUGAGACUUUUAGCCCUGCAUGGCAUGGUAUUGUAAUAU
rnacentral:lncRNA from 1 species